AGCUCCAAUAGCGUAUAUUAAAGUUGUUGCAGUUAAAGCUCGUAGUUGGAUUUCUGGUGGGAGGGAUCGGUACUUCAUUCUUUGUUGUGACUUGAAUCCUCUCCGGCCAUCCUUGGGUGGAUCUUGUCUGGCAUUAAGUUGUCAGUCAGGGGAUGCCCAUCGUUUACUGUGAAAAAUUAGAGUGUUCAAAGCAGGCUUAUGCCGUUGAAUAUAUUAGCAUGGAAUAAUAAGAUAGGGCCCUGGUACUAUUUUGUUGGUUUGCGUACCGAGGUAAUGAUUAAUAGGGACAGUUGGGGGUAUUUGUAUUCAGUAUUCAGUGGUGAAAUACUUAGACCUACGGAAGACAAACUACUGCGAAAGCAUUUGCCAAGGAUGUUUUCA
rnacentral:rRNA from 1 species